GACGAACGCUGGCGGCGUGCCUAAUACAUGCAAGUCGAACGGUUUAGUUCCAAGAGGCUUGCCUUUUGGAACUAGACAGUGGCGGACGGGUGAGUAACACGUAGGCAACCUACCUGUCAAACCGGGAUAACCUCGGGAAACCGAAGCUAAACCCGGAUAAGCUCCUUUUUCGCAUGAAGGGGGAGUGAAAAGGUGCGACCUGAUGACAGAUGGGCCUGCGGCGCAUCAGCUAGUAGGUAGGGUAACGGCCUACCUAGGCGAUGAUGCGUAGCCGACCUGAGAGGGCGUACGGCCACACUGGGACUGAGAUCCGGCCCAGACUCCUACGGGAGGCAGCAGUAGGGAAUCUUCGGCAAUGGGCGAAAGCCUGACCGAGCAACGCCGCGUGAGUGAGGAAGGCCUUCGGGGUGUAAAACUCUGUUGUUUGGGAAGAAGGGAAAGGGUAGGACCCUUAGGUGACGGUACCAAACGAGAAAGCCCCGGCUAACUACGUG
rnacentral:rRNA from 1 species